rnacentral:rRNA from 1 species
GUGGGGAAUCUUCCGCAAUGGACGAAAGUCUGACGGAGCAACGCCGCGUGAGUGAUGAAGGUCUUCGGAUUGUAAAGCUCUGUUAAUCGGGACGAAAGAGCCUAGUGUGAAUAAUGCUAGGAAGUGACGGUACCGGAAUAGAAAGCCACGGCUAACUACGUGCCAGCAGCCGCGGUAAUACGUAGGUGGCAAGCGUUGUCCGGAAUUAUUGGGCGUAAAGCGCGCGCAGGCGGAUCUGCCAGUCUGUCUUAAAAGUUCGGGGCUUAACCCCGUGAUGGGAUGGAAACUACAGAUCUAGAGUAUCGGAGAGGAAAGUGGAAUUCCUAGUGUAGCGGUGAAAUGCGUAGAUAUUAGGAAGAACACCAGUGGCGAAGGCGACUUUCUGGACGAAAACUGACGCUGAGGCGCGAAAGCUAGGGGAGCGAACGGGAUUAGAAACCCUGGUAGUCC